rnacentral:rRNA from 1 species
AUUGAACGCUGGCGGAAUGCUUUACACAUGCAAGUCGAACGGCAGCACGGGGGCAACCCUGGUGGCGAGUGGCGAACGGGUGAGUAAUACAUCGGAACGUGCCCAGUCGUGGGGGAUAACGUAGCGAAAGUUACGCUAAUACCGCAUACGAUCUACGGAUGAAAGCGGGGGACCGUAAGGCCUCGCGCGAUUGGAGCGGCCGAUGUCAGAUUAGGUAGUUGGUAAGGUAAAGGCUCACCAAGACGACGAUCUGUAGCUGGUCUGAGAGGACGACCAGCUACACUGGGACUGGGACACGGCCCAGACUCCUACGGGAGGCAGCAGUGGGGAAUUUUGGACAAUGGGCGCAAGCCUGUUCCAGCCAUUCCGCGUGCAGGACGAAGGCGUUCGGGUUGUAAACUGCUUUUGUACGGAACGAAAAGGCUCUGGUUAAUACCUGGGCUCAUGACGGUACCGUAAGAAUAAGCACCGGCUAACUACGUGCCAGCCGCCGCGGUAA